rnacentral:lncRNA from 11 species
GACUUUUACAUGUAUAUUUUCAAAAUGGUAUCUUUUUCAUUUGUCAUUUCCCAUUUUCCAGGUUUGGCCGUAAGACAAGCAUCUUGAUUACCACCCUGGUUACACCUAUCACAGGAGUCUUAGUGGCUGUACACCAAACUACAUAUGGACUGUCAUAUUCCGCUUCAUGCAAGGACUCGUUGGCAAGGGGAGCUGGACAGCAGGCUACAUCCUUAUCACAGAAAUUGUUGGUGCAAGCUACCGGAGAACUGUGGCCAUUCUCUCUCAAACGACAUUUGCUGUUGGUCUCCUGAUCCUCGAUGCUUUGGAUUAUGCAAUUCCUUAUUGGUGGUGGAUUCAACUUGCUGUCACUCUGCCAACUUUUCUAAUUUUGCUCUAUUACUGGUAAGAUGGCCUUAAAAGCUCCAGUCUCUUAUUUCGUCUACAUUCUGGAGCCAAGAAACUGAACCUCAGAACAAACUGUGAAAUGAUGGGCCUACAUAGCAAAAAAGAGCCAUGGAUCUCAGUUGCUUGAAAGCACCAUGAACAGGCAGCCAACCUUUUAUUGGUUGUAGUUAUAUUCCUGUCUGGGGCAUAGUCUGGAACCUACCGGAAGUCUUCUGAAGGUCCAAAGUGAUAACAUCAUUGCUGUCCUUCUAGCUUCAUUGCUACUUUGUGCCUUCAUGCCAUAGCUGAUUUAUGGGAACCUUAAGGUUUAUUUUUGGAAAUAUUCUUCAGACAAUUUGCUACAGUUGUGUUCUUUUGAGACUCAGAGUGUGGAUUCCCAAGGUUACCCAUUGGGUUUUCUUGGCUAAGCAGGAAUUCAAACCCUGGUUGCUGAGUUCUAACUCAAUACUCAGACAAUUAUGCCACACUAACUUUUCCUCUGUUAUACAGAAGAUAAAAGGCAGUAUUUAGAGGAAGUUUGUCACCAUGCAAGGCUGGUUGAGGAUUACACAAGUCCUUAAGAGGAUACCAUGUCUCAGGAACAGAUCCAAUACCAUCAGCCAUCAUAAUAGUGUUAAUAUUCUAAAUGUGAGGCAACAGCCAGGGAGUAGUUUAGGUUUAAUUCAGAUGAGGACUUGACAGAGCCAGGCAACUUCCAACCAACUAUGUAUAUGAGGUCACAUGGUAAGUUGUGUUUAUCUGAAUGCCUCAGCAUAAGAUUGCCUGGCCCCGGCCCCAAUAAAGGACCAAUUAUAGAUCUGUUUUGAUGCACUAUUGGAGAUCAGCAGUUUGUUUUAACACAAAUGGAAUAAAUUGAGACGGCUGAAAUACAAGCACGUCUGUAUUACUAGCUGCUGUGAUGAUUUUACCCUGUGAGUCUCUCUGCUACAGGCUUGUCCUCUGGAAUAGGACCCUUUGCUAUUCUGCUGCCUUGAUUCCUUUAGGUGCUUUCCCGAAUCUCCCAGAUGGCUGCUUUUUCGAGGUUAGAAUGGCAAAGCUAUGGAAAUUGUGGGUGAUAUUGCCAAAAAGAACGGGAAACCCUUACCUCCCCAUUUUGAAGUGAAUGUCAAAUGUCACAUAUAUAAUGAAUAACAUUCUUGAUAGGCUAGUAUAUGAAUAGAAUCGAUGGUGGUAUUUGCAGCUGUAGCAGCAGACUCAAACCUGAACGAAUUACAUCAUAUGGGAUAAGGAGUUGUUAGCUAUUAAGGCAGCCUUUGCAACAUGAAGGUAUUUGUUGGAAGUCACUACACAUCCAAUAGAACUUCACAGUGAUGGCUGCAAGACAGCUCACCAGCUGAAUCAGCAACCAAUACUAUAGUCACAGUUCUUAGCCCAAUUUAAUUUCAAAGUCAUAACUGGCUAGCCAAUGUGGUAUAGACUUCUGCAUUGUUGCAAUCUGCCAGGGCCCCUACCAAUGAAUGUUAUGUACCAAUACCAGUGCCAUAAUAGUCAGGCUACAGAGCAUUUUCUUCUAUUUUAAACCCUUCACCUUAUGAUUCAGGAUUUCUGAUUCCCUUCCAACUUCCUCCACCUCUACCCAGAUACCUGAGAUUCCAUUGGUCCCUCCUGGCUCUAGCCCCCCACUCUGGAACUCCCUCCCUAGGGAGAUUAGGUUAGCUCCCUCGCUAUCUUCCUUCAGGAAACAACUAAAGACUUGGAUGUUUCGGUUGGCCUUUGGUGAGACAAGCAUUAGAUAAUCAACCCCAGAUGGUAUUAUCCAGUAUUUUAUUAGGCCCCUAGUUUUAUUAUCUAUGCAUUUUAUCUCAUCAUUGUACUCUUGCAUAGAUGUUUCAGUUCCUCCACCUAUGUAGAUGACAGAACUGUAUUUGGUGGUUCACUGAUAUUAUUAACUAUUAUCUCUGUUUUAUAUUGUAUUUUGUUUUUUAUCUUGUUAUACUGUGAAUUGUAUGUAUGCUGUUUUUACUUGAUUGUAUUGUUCGGACUCUGCCCCAUGUAAGCUGCCCCGAGUCCCCUAGGGGAAAUGGUGGCCGGGUAUGAAUAAAGCAUUAUUAUUAUUAUUAUUAUUAUUAUUAUUAUUAUUAUUAUUAUUAUUACUUCGGCAAAUCCUUCCCAGGACCCCAAAGCUCUCUUACCCUUGAUCAUAGUGGAUGAUAAGGAAGAAUAUGAGGUGGCCAAGAUCAUGGAUGCUUUCUAUCACAGUGGUCACCUACAGUACUUGGUGGAUUGGACUGGAUGUGGGCUGGAGGAAUGGUCUUGGCAUGAUGUCUCCAAUGUCCAUGCUCCAGACUUGGUGCUAUCAAUUCAACCAAUGCUAUCCAGUGAAAUUGGGACCCCUCUGAUUUGUGGAAGAGAGCCAUGGUGAGGGAAAUGAUGUCAUCUCUCCUUCCUUGAAAGUUCAUUUCUCUCUGAAGAUGCCAGUGGACGGGCAGAUAGCUGAUUGCUUGCUGAGUCCUCCUUUGAUUCAGCAGAUCAUGUCGACUUCAGAGAAGAAAGAAAAGUUGAAGGAGAGGGCCAUGAAGUCCGCAAGAAAGAUAGAGGCUCUGCUGUGUGACUCAAACCAUUCCCUGCAGACAGGGUCAUAGCUGGGCGGGGGGGGAUUAAUGGUUUAACCCCCCCUGAAAGAGUUCACACACACACCCCAAACCUGUUUUACUCAUGAAUUUUAACUGGUUAACAAAUUUAUGAAUAAACCAGGAUUUAUUUUAGCCUGACACAUUUUGAGGGCAUUUUGAAAUCUUAACCCCACGCCUCCGGCUAUGGCCCUGCUGUAGACAGAGCAAAGACUACAAUCAAGGUAUCAGGAAGAGUACAGCUGUGUAAUUCUGAGAAUUUUUCAUGGCUUCUGACAUUGGCACUCUGAAUUCUUGUUUGAUGUUGAGAUCAGAGCACUUCUCUUCUGACUGUAGAUGUUGCUUUCCAUCCUCUGAUUGAAGGUUUCAGGUGUAGAAGGAAAUUGUUCCACCAGUGGUAUCUAUUCAAUUUGCAAACAAAGAUUGUUGGGUACAAUCAAUGGUAAUAAUAAA